rnacentral:rRNA from 1 species
GACGGGGGGGGGCAAGUGUUCUUCGGAAUGACUGGGCGUAAAGGGCACGUAGGCGGUGAAUCGGGUUGAAAGUGAAAGUCGCCAAAAAGUGGCGGAAUGCUCUCGAAACCAAUUCACUUGAGUGAGACAGAGGAGAGUGGAAUUCCCAGUGUAGCGGUGAAAUGCGUAGAUAUUGGGAGGAACACCAGUGGCGAAGGCGGCUCACUGGACCGGUACUGACGCUGAUGCGCGAAAGCCAGGGGAGCAAACGGG